rnacentral:rRNA from 1 species
UGCAUWUYCCMAAAGCGGAGGAAAAGAAACCAACAGGGAUUGCCUCAGUAACGGCGAGUGAAGCGGCAAAAGCUCAAAUUUGAAAUCCCCCGGGAAUUGUAAUUUGAAGAGAUUUGGGUCCGGCCGGCGGGGGUUAAGUCCACUGGAAAGUGGCGCCACAGAGGGUGACAGCCCCGUGAACCCCCUCAACGCCUUUAUCCCAGGUCUCCAAGAGUCGAGUUGUUUGGGAAUGCAGCUCUAAGUGGGUGGUAAAUUCCAUCUAAAGCUAAAUACCGGCGAGAGACCGAUAGCGAACAAGUACAGUGAUGGAAAGAUGAAAAGCACUUUGAAAAGAGAGUGAAAAAGUACGUGAAAUUGUUGAAAGGGAAGGGCUUGCAAGCAGACACUUAACUGGGCCAGCAUCGGGGCGGCGGGGAGCAAAACCACUGGGGAAUGUACCUUUCGAGGAUUAUAACCCCGGUCCUUACUCCCUCACCAUCCCGAGGCCUGCAAUCUAAGGAUGCUGGCGUAAUGGUUGCAAGUCGCCCGUCUUGAAA